UACGUAUAGGUAUAUAUUGGAAGUUGGCGUAUUGAGAGAGAGAGAGGCAAUGGUAGCUCUCAUGCUGUGAGAAGGAUGUGGCAACGAGAAGCAAUAGGAGGAGAUGAAAGAGGAAAGAGGAGGGGUCUCGAAACGUCCGCCAUUGAAAUGAACAGAGAGAGAAAAAAAAUCAUACCUUUCAAGUUUGUUGCUUUGAUUACGAAGAAGACGUCGGAGAAAAUGGGAGUUUUUGGAUUUGCAAAUACGUUUGUUGUUUGUUGGGCAUCCGUGGACGAUUUGAUUUCGUGGAAUGAAGAUGGAUCUGCAUUCAUUGUUUGGCGGCCGGCGGAAUUCGCCAGA